rnacentral:misc_RNA from 1 species
GAUGAAGAACGUAGUGAAAUGCGAUAAGUAAUGUGAAUUGCAGAAUUCAGUGAAUCAUCGAAUCUUUGAACGCACAUUGCGCCCGCCAGUAUUCUGGCGGGCAUGCCUGUUCGAGCGUCAUUUCAACCGUCAAGCCCCCGGCUUGUGUUGGGGACCUGCGGCUGCCGCAGGCCCUGAAAAGCAGUGGCGGGCUCGCUGUCACACCGAGCGUAGUAGCAUACAUCUCGCUCUGGGCGUGCUGCGGGUUCCGGCCGUUAAACCACCUUCAUAACCCAAGGUUGACCUCGGAUCAGGUAGGAAGACCCGCUGAACUUAAGCAUAUCAAUAAGCGGAGGA